GAAAUAAGCCCAAACAUUAUCCUCCUCCAGGUAAAAAGGCUUGUUAAAAAGUUGCACAUACAACAAGGAUCCAUAAGCUUUUUACAGCUGGAAGUCUGCUGUGACUUACUUUUUCUAGAACUCCAAUUCACAAGAGCAGGUUUUGUACCAUACUGGAAGAACAAGGGAUCAAGAACUAAAAUGAUUGGAAGAGCAUAAAUUAUUGGAUAGAUCCUCAUGUGGACGACAAGCCCAUACCAAAAUGCAGCUUGUACUAAACGACCAUUCAUUAGACAUAGAAUAAUCCAAAGGAUUAUGGCACAGAUGAUGGGCUCACAAUUCCCACGAGUUCCAAUGGUAAAGGUAAAUGGAUUCAAAAGCCAUACCAUCACCGAAUAGGUGCAUAAUUUCUCAGGCACCCCUCUUAGCUUUAGAAUGGCGUUGAUAAGAAAUCCCACGAGAAGAUCUGAAGCGGAGAAGAUAAACUUUCCCCAAGAAGGAUGAACGAAAGAAUUGGGCACAAGAAGAAAAGCAAUCAAGGGAGAGUAACGAUAUGUAGAUCUUUGAUAAGGGGAUUUUCCGGCAGCAACUAAAGCAGCUGCAUCUGAGAAAACAAGAUAGUCCACAUCUGUGUAUCGAACCUCCAUAUGGGUAUCUUGC
rnacentral:misc_RNA from 1 species